rnacentral:rRNA from 1 species
AUUGAACGCUGGCGGCAGGCCUAACACAUGCAAGUCGAACGGUAGCACAGAGGAGCUUGCUCCUUGGGUGACGAGUGGCGGACGGGUGAGUAAUGUCUGGGAAACUGCCCGAUGGAGGGGGAUAACUACUGGAAACGGUAGCUAAUACCGCAUAACGUCGCAAGACCAAAGAGGGGGACCUUCGGGCCUCUUGCCAUCGGAUGUGCCCAGAUGGGAUUAGCUAGUAGGUGGGGUAACGGCUCACCUAGGCGACGAUCCCUAGCUGGUCUGAGAGGAUGACCAGGCACACUGGAACUGAGACACGGUCCAGACUCCUACGGGAGGCAGCAGUGGGGAAUAUUGCACAAUGGGCGCAAGCCUGAUGCAGCCAUGCCGCGUGUAUGAAGAAGGCCUUCGGGUUGUAAGUACUUUCAGCGAGGAGGAAGGCGUUGUG